UAGGUGGCAUGCAACCUGAGGACAGAUU
rnacentral:piRNA from 1 species